rnacentral:rRNA from 1 species
ACGGGGGGUGCAAGCGUUGUUCGGAAUUAUUGGGCGUAAAGCGCGUGUAGGCGGUCUGAUUAGUCUGAUGUGAAAGCCCUGGGCUCAACCCGGGAAGUGCAUUGGAAACUGUCAGACUUGAAUACGGGAGAGGGUAGUGGAAUUCCUAGUGUAGGAGUGAAAUCCGUAGAUAUUAGGAGGAACACCGGUGGCGAAGGCGGCUACCUGGACCGAUAUUGACGCUGAGACGCGAAAGCGUGGGUAGCAAACAGGAUUAGAUACCCUGGUAGUCCACGCCGUAAACGAUGAGUACUAGGUGUUGCGGGUAUUGACCCCUGCAGUGCCGCAGCUAACGCAUUAAGUACUCCGCCUGGGAAGUACGGUCGCAAGACUA